rnacentral:rRNA from 1 species
CGCCGAAAAUGUACCGGGGCUAAACAUAUUACCGAAGCUGUGGAUUGUCCUUUGGACAAUGGUAGGAGAGCGUUCUAAGGGCGUUGAAGCAUGAUCGUAAGGACAUGUGGAGCGCUUAGAAAUGAGAAUGCCGGUGUGAGUAGCGAAAGACGGGUGAGAAUCCCGUCCACCGAUUGACUAAGGUUUCCAGAGGAAGGCUCGUCCGCUCUGGGUUAGUCGGGUCCUAAGCUGAGGCCGACAGGCGUAGGCGAUGGAUAACAGGUUGAUAUUCCUGUACCACCUAUAAUCGUUUUAAUCGAUGGGGGGACGCAGUAGGAUAGGCGAAGCGUGCGAUUGGAUUGCACGUCUAAGCAGUAAGGCUGAGUAUUAGGCAAAUCCGGUACUCGUUAAGGCUGAGCUGUGAUGGGGAGAAGACAUUGAGUCUUCGAGUCGUUGAUUUCACACUGCCGAGAAAAGCCUCUAGAUAGAAAAUAGGUGCCCGUACCGCAAACCGACACAGGUAGUCAAGAUGAGAAUUCUAAGGUGAGCGAGCGAACUCUCGUUAAGGAACUCGGCAAAAUGACCCCGUAACUUCGGGAGAAGGGGUGCUCUUUAGGGUUAACGCCCAGAAGAGCCGCAGUGAAUAGGCCCAAGCGACUGUUUAUCAAAAACACAGGUCUCUGCUAAACCGUAAGGUGAUGUAUAGGGGCUGACGCCUGCCCGGUGCUGGAAGGUUAAGAGGAGUGGUUAGCUUCUGCGAAGCUACGAAUCGAAGCCCCAGUAAACGGCGGCCGUAACUAUAACGGUCCUAAGGUAGCGAAAUUCCUUGUCGGGUAAGUUCCGACCCGCACGAAAGGCGUAACGAUUUGGGCACUGUCUCAACGAGAGACUCGGUGAAAUCAUAGUACCUGUGAAGAUGCAGGUUACCCGCGACAGGACGGAAAGACCCCGUGGAGCUUUACUGUAGCCUGAUAUUGAAAUUCGGCACAGCUUGUACAGGAUAGGUAGGAGCCUUUGAAACGUGAGCGCUAGCUUACGUGGAGGCGCUGGUGGGAUACUACCCUAGCUGUGUUGGCUUUCUAACCCGCACCACUUAUCGUGGUGGGAGACAGUGUCAGGCGGGCAGUUUGACUGGGGCGGUCGCCUCCUAAAAGGUAACGGAGGCGCUCAAAGGUUCCCUCAGAAUGGUUGGAAAUCAUUCAUAGAGUGUAAAGGCAUAAGGGAGCUUGACUGCGAGACCUACAAGUCGAGCAGGGUCGAAAGACGGACUUAGUGAUCCGGUGGUUCCGCAUGGAAGGGCCAUCGCUCAACGGAUAAAAGCUACCCCGGGGAUAACAGGCUUAUCUCCCCCAAGAGUUCACAUCGACGGGGAGGUUUGGCACCUCGAUGUCGGCUCAUCGCAUCCUGGGGCUGUAGUCGGUCCCAAGGGUUGGGCUGUUCGCCCAUUAAAGCGGUACGCGAGCUGGGUUCAGAACGUCGUGAGACAGUUCGGUCCCUAUCCGUCGUGGGCGUAGGAAAUUUGAGAGGAGCUGUCCUUAGUACGAGAGGACCGGGAUGGACAUACCUCUGGUGUACCAGUUGUCGUGCCAACGGCAUAGCUGGGUAGCUAUGUGUGGACGGGAUAAGUGCUGAAAGCAUCUAAGCAUGAAGCCCCCCUCAAGAUGAGAUUUCCCAACUUCGGUUAUAAGAUCCCUCAAAGAUGAUGAGGUUAAUAGGUUCGAGGUGGAAGCAUGGUGACAUGUGGAGCUGACGAAUACUAAUCGAUCGAAGACUUAAUCAA